AGCAGCCGCGGUAAUUCCAGCUCCAAUAGCGUAUAUUAAAGUUGUUGCAGUUAAAAAGCUCGUAGUCGAAUUUCGGAAUCUGUCCGUUGGUCGGGCUUUAUUGUCCGUACUGAUGUGAUGGGUUCUUACCUUCUGAAUAACCAGCAUGUCAUUAAUUUGGUGUGUUGGGGAAGCAGGACUAUUACCUUAGAAAAAAUUAGAGUGCUCAAAGCAGGCUAGUGCCUGAAUACAUUAG
rnacentral:rRNA from 1 species